UACGGAAGGGUGCAAGCGUUACUCGGAAUUACUGGGCGUAAAGCGUGCGUAGGUGGUGAGUUAAGUCUGUCGUGAAAGCCCCGGGCUCAACCUGGGAAUGGCGAUGGAUACUGGCUCGCUAGAGUGCGGUAGAGGAGAGUGGAAUUCCCGGUGUAGCAGUGAAAUGCGUAGAGAUCGGGAGGAACAUCAGUUGCGAAGGCGGCUCUCUGGACAUUACCUGACGCUGAGGAGCGAAAGUGUGGGGAGCGAAACAGG
rnacentral:rRNA from 1 species